GGUUCAUCUUCUGGAAUCUUUGAUCUAGGAGGUCCUCUCGACUGUGAAUCUCGAGGGUCUUCUGGUAGAAUGGAGGUAGGGAUACUCUGGGGGUGGAAUCGUGAUCGGACGGAGGGCUCUCCACCUUCUGCUUCCCCUUUUUGGGAAAGACAGGGCGACUGGCCCAAGUGACCCGCCCGAUCGUCGGAUUCUGGAACUCCGACAAUGUUCUUUCCAGCCACACAGAUGCCUGUGAC
rnacentral:lncRNA from 1 species